GGCUCGUUGGUCUAGGGGUAUGAUUCUCGCUUCGGGUGCGAGAGGUCCGGGAUUCAAUUCCCGGACGAGCCC
rfam:Ciona savignyi cont_20516, whole genome shotgun sequence.